rnacentral:lncRNA from 1 species
GUUCCAAAACAACAAACUAUAAGAUCUUAUGAAAUACAUCUGCUCCACCACUCUUGUAUGUCACCAAAGCUAUAACCAUGUUAAAACUUAAUAAAACUCACAAGAUUCUUGAGAAAAUAACCAUAACUAAGUUUCUUUCAUUCAUUUUGUCGUGGCAAAGACCAAAAAAGAGACAGCAAAAAAAGAGAACAGCAGCCAGCACGAUCAAUCUUCUUCAAUCAUCAUCGUCGUCGGUCACCUAAAAUGAAAAGAACAUCAGGAUUAUGAGUUCAAAUCAAAUCUAAUUUGAAUCUAUUGAUCUAAUGAGAAAUAAGAACAUGGUUUUAAGAAUAGAAAAGAUUAAAGAUAGAUGAUUACCAAGUGUCGAGGCCAUGCAAUGCAUGCUCCAAUUGCAUCUCCAAUUGUGGACAAGUUUGAAUAUGGUCUAAUCAAAUCUUCUUCCCAUUCUAUAGGAACUGAAACUUGAACUUCACACCAAUUUAAUCCUAGUCGUUUUCCUCCAACAUCGUGAUUGGGAUCU